rnacentral:tRNA from 1 species
GCGCCGGUAGCUCAGCUGGAUAAAGCAUUGGAUUUCUGAUCCGACGGUCGCAGGUUCGAGUCCUGCCCGGCGCG